rnacentral:rRNA from 1 species
AUUGAACGCUGGCGGCAGGCCUAACACAUGCAAGUCGAGCGAGCGGCGGACGGGUGAGUAAUGUCUGGGAAACUGCCUGAUGGAGGGGGAUAACUACUGGAAACGGUAGCUAAUACCGCAUACCAUCAGAUGUGCCCAGAUGGGUUUAGCUAGUAGGGGGGGUAAUGGCUCACCUAGGCGACGAUCCCUAGAUGGUCUGAGAGGAUGACCAGCCACCCUGGAACGGAGACACGGUCCAGGGUCCUGCGGUAGGCAGCAGUGGGGAAUAUUGCACAAUGGGCGCGAGCCUGAUGCAGCCAUGCCGCGUGUGUGAAGAAGGCCUUCGGGUUGUAAAGCACUUUCAGCGGGGCGGCGUUACCCGCAGAAGAAGCACCGGCUAACUCCGUGCCAGCAGCCGCGGUAAUUC